rnacentral:rRNA from 1 species
UACGUUAGGGGGGCAAGCGUUUGUCCCGGGAUUUUAUUUGGGCGUAAAGAGCGUGUAGGCGGCUAGAUAGGUCCGUUUGUGAAAACUCGAGGCUCAACCUCGAGACGUCGAUGGAAACCCCCCUGGCUAGAGUCCGGAAGAGGAGAGUGGGAUUUCCUGGUGUAGCGGUGAAAUGCGCAGAUAUCAGGAAGAACACCCGUGGCGAAGGCGGCUCUCUGGGACGGUACUGACGCUGAGACGCGAAAGCGUGGGGAGCGAACAGG